CGGCAGCACGGGAGCUUGCUUCUGGUGGCGAGUGGCGAACGGGUGAGUAAUGUAUCGGAACGUACCCAGUCGUGGGGGAUAACUCUCCGAAAGGAGAGCUAAUACCGCAUACGUCCUGAGGGGGAAAGCGGGGGACCUAAGGGUAACUGAGGGCCUCGCGCGAUUGGAGCGGCCGAUAUCGGAUUAGCUAGUUGGUGGGGUAAAGGCUCACCAAGGCGACGAUCCGUAGCGGGUCUGAGAGGACGACCCGCCACACUGGAACUGAGACACGGUCCAGACUCCUACGGGAGGCAGCAGUGGGGAAUUUUGGACAAUGGGGGCAACCCUGAUCCAGCCAUUCCGCGUGAGUGAAGAAGGCCUUCGGGUUGUAAAGCUCUUUCAGCAGGAGCGAAACGGUCGUUUUUAAUACAGACGGCUAAUGACGGUACCUGCAGAAGAAGCACCGGCUAACUACGUGCCAGCAGCCGCGGUAAUACGUAGGGUGCGAGCGUUAAUCGGAAUUACUGGGCGUAAAGCGUGCGCAGGCGGCGACAUAAGACAGAUGUGAAAUCCCCGGGCUCAACCUGGGAACUGCGUUUGUGACUGUGUUGCUAGAGUGUAGCAGAGGGGGGUGGAAUUCCACGUGUAGCAGUGAAAUGCGUAGAGAUGUGGAGGAACACCGAUGGCGAAGGCAGCCCCCUGGGUUAACACUGACGCUCAUGCACGAAAGCGU
rnacentral:rRNA from 1 species